GGUUAUGAGUCCCCAUUUUACAGAUGAAGAACCCAAGGCCCAAAAGAGGUGCCGUUCUACCCGCUCAGCAUGGGCAGAGGACGUGACGCCCUUUCUGCCCUGGGUGCCCUUCUCCCCAGCCAAGCCAAGCCAGCGCCCGGAGACCGUUCCUUCAGCCCCAAGCAGCCUUGUCCAGAAGAGGUUCUGCCAGCCCACCGACCCAAGUUCUUGGACCCCUUCCCCCUCUAGACCGUAAGCUCACUGUGGGCACUGAAAGAGCCUACCAGCUCCGUGGUACCGUCUUCCCCCAAGCACGUAAAGUAUUCUGGACACAUGAAGCGCUCAAUAAAUACAACUGAUUGACUGAGACGGAAGGGGCUUGGGCCCUUUGAAGGGCCUACA